UACGAAGGGGGCUAGCGUUGCUCGGAAUCACUGGGCGUAAAGCGCACGUAGGCGGCUUGUUAAGUCAGGGGUGAAAUCCUGGAGCUCAACUCCAGAACUGCCUUUGAUACUGAAGAUCUUGAGUUCGGGAGAGGUGAGUGGAACUGCGAGUGUAGAGGUGAAAUUCGUAGAUAUUCGCAAGAACACCAGGUGGCGAAGGCGACUACCUGCCUGUUCUUGACGCUGAGGCGCGAAAGCUAGGGGAGCA
rnacentral:rRNA from 1 species